UAGUAAGAAAAGGAGAAAGAGAGUUUCUGCCAGUCCCAACUCAACCUUCCUUCCAUGCAGAUCUGGAAGUCCGCCCGCAGAAGCUGUUUCCAGCUGGCUUUGCUUUGGUCUCACUCUCUGCAGAGGCAUGCCGGCUCCGUACCAUUCACACCUGGCUAUAUGUUCCUGUGA
rnacentral:lncRNA from 1 species